CCUACGGGUGACUGCAGUGAGGAAUAUUGGUCAAUGGACGCAAGCCUGAACCAGCCAUGCCGCGUGCGGGAUGAAGGCUCUAUGGAUUGUAAACCGCUUUUGUACGAGGGUAAAGUGAGAUACGUGUACCGUUCUGUAAGUACCGUACGAAUAAGGAUCGGCUAACUCCGUGCCAGCAGCCGCGGUAAUACGGAGGAUUCGAGCGUUAUCCGGAUUUAUUGGGUUUAAAGGGUGCGUAGGCGGCCGGUUAAGUCAGCGGUGAAAUCCCGAGGCUCAACCUCGGAAUUGCCGUUGAUACUGGGCGGCUUGAGAGUGGUUGAGGCAGGCGGAAUGUGUGGUGUAGCGGUGAAAUGCUUAGAGAUCAUGCAGAACCCCGAUUGCGAAGGCAGCCUGCCAAGCCAUGACUGACGCUGAGGCACGAAAGCGUGGGGAGCAAACAGGAUUAGAUACCCGAGUAGUC
rnacentral:rRNA from 1 species